rnacentral:RNase_P_RNA from 1 species
AGAGUUGGCUGGACAGUCGCCGUACCGCUUGCGGUAGGGAGGAAAGUCCGGGCUCCAUAGGGCAGAGUGCCAGGUAACACCUGGGGGGCGCGAGCCUACGGAAAGUGCAGCAGAAAAUAUACCGCCUAAGCGCGCAAGCGCCGGUAAGGUUGAAAUGGUGCGGUAAGAGCGCACCGCACAGCUGGUAACAGUCUGUGGCUAGGUAAACCCCGCUCGGAGCAAGACCAAAUAGGAACCCGUUGGUGCGGCCCGCACUGGGUUCGGGUAGGUUGCUAGAGGCAGUCAGUGAUGGCUGUCGUAGAGGAAUGACUGUCCUCGACAGAACCCGGCUUACAGGCCAACUCUUAUU